rnacentral:lncRNA from 1 species
AACAGUGAAGUGCAUUGUUAGGAGUAAGUUUCAAACCUGAAACGUUCAUUCCAGGCCUUGUUAUUCGUUUCAUAUAGGGGUUAUUUGUGGAUUUGUCAAAACCCACUAAAACCCUUUCCAAGAAGAAGAAUUUCCUACCUGGAAAGCUUCAAGAACUAGACUUUAACAAGUCCUUAAAACGGUAUGUUUUAUUUUUUUGGCUUCUUUUUUUAAGCAAUUAAAGCAAUCAAAAGAGCAAAGACCCAAUUCAAACCAGACAUAAUCAACAAAGAAGAGUAGGAUAAAAAUCAAAGACAAUCAAUAGAGAAAAGUAGGGGGGAUUUAGUGACUUGGUGGUGGUGGACGUCGGACGGUAAUGAAUGUUUCGGGCUGUCGGGUUAGGGCGUCACUCGAAGAUGAUGGUGACUGGACGGCGGUGAGUGAAGGUGAACUCGAAGCCGGUGAUUGUCGUUAGAAGGGAUUUUGGGAGAUUUCGGAGGAUUUUCAAUUUGGGGAGAUGGGAUUAGAGAUUUAGGGUUAUUGGGUUUAGGGAUUUGAAUUUCAGAUAAUUUUUAGUUUAGGGUUACUACAAUGUUUAGUUCAAAGGGCGGUUGCCUGUAGAUAUUUUUUUUUUUUUGCUUUGAG